CGCCCAGCGGGGUCUCCAGGGGCCGCCCGGGAAGAGGCUGACCUCUCGCUGUGCAGGCUCACGGACCAUCACGGCUUCCUGCAGGAGAAGGAGCUGCCCGGCCUCAGCCCCCGAGAGGCCAAGCAACAUCGCCAGGAGACCCGCAGGGCCGACAAGUGGG